GAUGAAGAACGUAGCGAAAUGCGAUAAGUAGUGUGAAUUGCAGAAUUCAGUGAAUCAUCGAAUCUUUGAACGCACAUUGCGCCCUUUGGUAUUCCAAAGGGCAUGCCUGUUCGAGCGUCAUUUGUACCCUCAAGCUUUGCUUGGUGUUGGGCGUCUUGUCUCUAGCUUUGCUGGAGACUCGCCUUAAAGUAAUUGGCAGCCGGCCUACUGGUUUCGGAGCGCAGUACAUCUCGCGCUUUGCACUCAUAACGACAGCGUCCAAAAGUACAUUUUACACUCUUGACCUCGGAUCAGGUAGGGAUACCCGCUGAACUUAAGCAUAUCAAUAAGCGGAGGA
rnacentral:misc_RNA from 1 species